UACGAAGGGGGCUAGCGUUGCUCGGAAUUACUGGGCGUAAAGCGCACGUAGGCGGCUUUUUAAGUCGGAGGUGAAAUCCUGGAGCUCAACUCCAGAACUGCCUUCGAUACUGAAGAGCUCGAGUCCGGGAGAGGUGAGUGGAACUGCGAGUGUAGAGGUGAAAUUCGUAGAUAUUCGCAAGAACACCAGUGGCGAAGGCGGCUCACUGGCCCGGUACUGACGCUGAGGCGCGAAAGCGUGGGGAGCAAACAGG
rnacentral:rRNA from 1 species